AGCUCGACGGGGUCCACGGCGCGCGUGGUCAUGAGGUAGUUGCGCAGCACGAUCGCGUGCCGGUUCUC
rnacentral:sRNA from 2 species